AUUGAACGCUGGCGGCAGGCCUAACACAUGCAAGUCGAGCGGAUGAAGGGAACUUGCUCCUGGAUUCAGCGGCCGACGGGUGAGUAAUGCCUAGGAAUCUGCCUGGUCGUGGGGGAUAACGUCAGGAAACGGGCGCUAAUAUCGCAUACGUCCUGAGUGAGAAAGUGGGGGAUCUUCGGACCUCACGCUAUCAGAUGAGCCUAGGUCGGAGUAGCUAGUUGGUGGGGUAAAGGCCUACCAAGGCGACGAUCCGUAACUGCUCUGAAUGGAUGAUCAGUCACACUGGAACUGAGACACGGUCCAGACUCCUACGGGAGGCAGCAGUGGGGAAUAUUGGACAAUGGGCGAAAGCCUGAUCCAGCAAUGCCGCGUGAGUGACGAAGGUCUUCGGAUUGUAAAGCUCUUUUAGUUGGGAGGAAGGGAAGUAAGUUAAUACCUUGCUGUUUUGACGUUACCAACAGAAUAAGCAACGGCUAACUUCGUG
rnacentral:rRNA from 1 species